UACGUAGGGUGCAAGCGUUGUCCGGAAUUAUUGGGCGUAAAGAGCUCGUAGGCGGCUUGUUGCGUCGACCGUGAAAACCUACCGCUUAACGGUGGGCUUGCGGUCGAUACGGGCAGGCUAGAGUUCGGUAGGGGAGACUGGAAUUCCUGGUGUAGCGGUGAAAUGCGCAGAUAUCAGGAGGAACACCGGUGGCGAAGGCGGGUCUCUGGGCCGAUACUGACGCUGAGGAGCGAAAGCGUGGGGAGCGAACAGG
rnacentral:rRNA from 1 species